rnacentral:tRNA from 1 species
UGGGGCGUCGACAAGUGGUAAGUCACAUGAUUUUGGUUCAUGUAUACGUAGGUUCGAAUCCUACCGCCCCAGCCA